rnacentral:rRNA from 1 species
AGAGUUUGAUCAUGGCUCAGAAUCAACGCUGGCGGCGUGCCUAACACAUGCAAGUCGAACGCGAAAGCCCCGCAAGGGGUGAGUAGAGUGGCAAACGGGUGAGUAACACGUGGGUGAUCUGCCUCAGAGUGGGGGAUAACGACCCGAAAGGGUCGCUAAUACCGCAUAACAUCCUGCGCUUGGAUGCGUGGAGAUCAAAGUUGGGGAUUCGCAAGAACCUGACGCUUGGAGAGGAGCCCGCGGCCGAUUAGCUAGUUGGUGAGGUAACGGCUCACCAAGGCGACGAUCGGUAUCCGGCCUGAGAGGGCGGACGGACACACUGGGACUGAGACACGGCCCAGACUCCUACGGGAGGCAGCAGUGGGGAAUUGUUCGCAAUGGGCGCAAGCCUGACGACGCAACGCCGCGUGGAGGGCGAAGAUUUUCGGAUCGUAAACUCCUUUCGAUCGGGAAGAACAGCUUUCUAGUGAAUAGCUGGAGAGUCUGACGGUACCGAGAGAAGAAGCCCCGGCUAACUCCGUGCCAGCAGCCGCGGUAAUACGGGGGGGCAAGCGUUGUUCGGAAUUACUGGGCGUAAAGGGCUCGUAGGCGGCCAACUAAGUCCGACGUGAAAUCCCAAGGCUUAACCUUGGAACUGCGUCGGAUACUGGAUGGCUUGAAUUCGGGAGAGGGAUGCAGAAUUCCAGGUGUAGCGGUGAAAUGCGUAGAUAUCUGGAGGAAUACCGGUGGCGAAGGCGGCAUCCUGGACCGACAUUGACGCUGAGGAGCGAAAGCUAGGGGAGCAAACGGGAUUAGAUACCCCCGUAGUCC